rnacentral:rRNA from 1 species
AGCUUUGCUUUAAAAGGGAGGAUGGUUUAAUUUUUUUUUAUAUAUUUUAUAUCUAAAAAAAAUAGACCCGCACUCCUGGGGCGUCUAUUACUCAUUUUUGAGUAAAGGGGCACCUAGAGCGUACACGUUGGGACCCGAAAGAUGGUGAACUAUGCCAGGCCAGGAUGAAGCCAGGGGAAACCCUGGUGGAGGUCCGUAGCGAUUCUGACGUGCAAAUCGAUCGUCAGAGCUUGGUAUAGGGGCGAAAGACUUAUCGAACCAUCUAGUAGCUGGUUCCCUCCGAAGUUUCUCUCAGGAUAGCUGGUGCCAAUGAUGAGACGAGUCUCAUCCGGUAAAGCGAAUGAUUAGAGGCCUUGGGGCCGAAACGACCUCAACCUAUUCUCAAACUUUAAAUGGAUGAGA